UACGUAGGUGACAAGCGUUGUCCGGAUUUACUGGGCGUAAAGAGCGCGCAGGCGGUCGUCCAAGUCGCGUGUGAAAGCCCCCGGCUCAACUGGGGAGGGUCACGCGAUACUGGUCGACUCGAAGGCAGGAGAGGGUAGUGGAAUUCCCGGUGUAGUGGUGAAAUGCGUAGAUAUCGGAAGGAACAUCAGUGGCGAAAGCGGCUUCCUGGACCAGCACCGACGUUCAGGCACGAAAGCGUGGGGAGCAAACAGG
rnacentral:rRNA from 1 species